rnacentral:rRNA from 1 species
AUUGAACGCUGGCGGCAGGCUUAACACAUGCAAGUCGAGCGGGGGAAGGUAGCUUGCUACCGGACCUAGCGGCGGACGGGUGAGUAAUGCUUAGGAAUCUGCCUAUUAGUGGGGGACAACAUCUCGAAAGGGAUGCUAAUACCGCAUACGUCCUACGGGAGAAAGCAGGGGAUCUUCGGACCUUGCGCUAAUAGAUGAGCCUAAGUCGGAUUAGCUAGUUGGUGGGGUAAAGGCCUACCAAGGCGACGAUCUGGAGCGGGUCUGAGAGGAUGAUCCGACACACUGGGACUGAGACACAGCCCAGACUCCUACGGGAGGCAGCAGUGGGGAAGAUUGGACAAUGGGGGGAACCCUGAUCCAGCCAUGCCGCGUGUGUGAAGAAGGCCUUAUGGUUGUAAAGCACUUUAAGCGAGGAGGAGGCUGCUUUAGUUAAUACCUAGAGAUAGUGGACGUUACUCGCAGAAUAAGCACCGGCUAACUCUGUGCCAGCCGCCGCAGUAA